rnacentral:rRNA from 1 species
CCUACGGGUGGCAGCAGUGAGGAAUAUUGGUCAAUGGACGAGAGUCUGAACCAGCCAAGUAGCGUGAAGGAUGACUGCCCUAUGCGUUGUAAACUUCUUUUAUAUGGGGAUAAAAUGUUCCACGUGUCGGAUUUUGUAUGUACCAUAUGACUAAGGAUCGGCUAACUCCGUGCCAGCAGCCGCGGUAAUACGGAGGAUCCGAGCGUUAUCCGGAUUUAUUGGGUUUAAAGGGUGCGUAGGUGGAUUGUUAAGUCAGGUGUGAAAGUUGGCGGCUCAACCGUAAAAGUGCAGUUGAAACUGGCAGUCUUGAGUACAGUAGAGGUGGGCGGAAUUCGUGGUGUAGCGGUGAAAUGCUUAGAUAUCACGAAGAACCCCGAUUGCGAAGGCAGCUCACUGGACUGCAACUGACACUGAGGCACGAAAGUGUGGGGAUCAAACAGGAUUAGAUACCCGUGUAGUC